rnacentral:misc_RNA from 1 species
AAAAAAAGAACUGAGUUUUGGUGCCAUUCUGGGUUUCACAAACCCUGAAUUGAGCCCACCCCUAUAAUGUAAGAGGAUGACUUAUUUAGCAUAAUCAAACUUUCAGAUGGUUCUUUUUUUCUUCUUAAUGUCUCAGUCCAAUGAUUUAUUAACGUAGAAAAAUAAGAGAAAUUCACCCUGGCGCAUUUUGUAAAGGCCUAGGUUAACUAAAUUGGGGAUUUCAGUUUCUAAAUUGAGGCAGAAUGUGUAAAUUGUUCAUGAUUUGAAUAUGGUUGAAGAAUAAUUAGUUUGAUGGCAAAAGUUGAAGAAUUGAAAGAGAUAAAGCUGCUGGGUUUUUUGAACAGCAGCUAAAUAUUAAGAUACAGCUUGUUGUGAAUGUUUUAGUUAUUAGAGAAAGAGAGGAAAAAUUAUGUGGGAGCUAGGAUUUAUAUUGAUGUGAUGAUGAAAUGAAUUUAAAGGCUAACUAGGGUAAGAUGCUGGUCUUGGAGUAGUUGCUAGGAGCAAUAACCUAAAAUCCUUCAGCAGCUGAACUUGGAAAAGAGGAUGAGGAAAAAUAAGCAUAGAAGAAAGAUAAGUCUCACAACUGGCAUUAAUGCUUUCAAAACAUAAAUCAAUCACUUUGGGUUCCAUUAUCAGAUGUCAAGUAAGAUCAUUAUAUUACCUAGUUUUUCAUAGGGACUUUGAGGUUCUACGUUUUGCUGGUAGGAUUUGAAAUUCUAAAAUACCUCGACUGUGAAAACCUGAUAUUAGUUCAAAUAAAAAACAUGUAAGACUGUUUGGAUCUCCACUUUCCAGUUCAUGCAAGAAAUUACAGUGGUAUCUGUCCCUGCUUACAAAUUCUCCAUAGUUUAAAUUUAUAAGCCCAAAUUAAAAUCUCAUUUAACUGUAAACUAGCAAAUAAUUAAUCAACAAAACCAUAUGAAUUACCAUUAAAAUUCACUGUUGGAUCCAAUGAAGAAAUCCUUAAAAAUGUGGUUGAAUAUUAAGUAAUAGGCAGUGAAAUCCUCUUCUCAUAGCUCUGCCAUUUAUGUCAUUUGUGCUGGCUGAAUCCUCUGCAUUAAAUGCAAUUGUGGAGCCUUGGUGAUAUGGAUGUGCUGUGUGUACAAUAAUGAAAUGUGUGAACUCAUUUGGUGAGUCAUUAACCAAAA